ensembl:lncRNA
GGUUAACCCAAGCAGUGCAAAAAUAGGACCGCGUUCAUGUCACUCCCUCAAAGGUUGUAGGUUCACACCUCUUUUCAGGUUUACAUCUGGACUGAGCUGCACAACCUGCUCCCCCUCGAAAUCUAGUCCUCAGCGCACGUCCACAGCCCGACUUAACUUCUCUACAGCUGGAAGAUGAAUUAUCAGCUCUCUGCGCUUUUAUUUGCAGCAGUGUAAUAGUUAAAUCAGUGCCGAAUGCGUGAUUUGAUGUGGUGUGUGGUGCCUAAGCUUGAACAGUCCUCUACAGUGAGAAGAUGGCGUCGGACGGAGCGAAAGGGGAGCAGCCACCUCCGCUACAAACACUGGUAACCACUGGCCAUGGAGCCGUCGAGACGAAAUGCGAGUUGAACAUCGACAACCUGAGCAAACCAGAGCUCCUGACCCUUUUGAGUAUCAUGGAGGGAGAACUUGAGGCCAGAGACCUAGUCAUUGAAGCUCUUAGGUCAUGAUGGGUUAGAGUCAUUGAGACAGACUUCAGGGUAUCCAGAACAAGCAGGCCAUUGUCGAUGUGUAGCCCUUCUGGGGCUGUUUUGUCCUUCCCACUGUCUGAGGAGAUAUGGCGCUGUUCUGAAAUUAGGCUGAGACACAAUCCUUCUAGCAUACAAAUUGCUGUCUGUAGUCCUUGGAGAGCAGAAAGAAGAUGUCAGGCUGCAUUUGGGAUAUAUGCAGCAAAAACAUGGCUUGUGAAUCCCAAAGGGAAGUUGGUUUCUGUGUGUGUGAGUGUUUCACAUCAGAGUAAAGCAGUGCCUUGAGCUUAAUAUGAAUCUGACCCAGAAGUGAGUGUGCAUGUGGGAGUAUGACAGUUCCUCUUCACUUUAUGAGCAGCGCUGUAGUACCAUCUCUAUAUUAUCGUGUCUUGUUACUUUAAUGUCAACUUUAAAUCCUGUCGAUAGGGAUCAAGUUUGUGUCACUGUUUUUCUUUCUGUUUGACAUACCCUGCUGGAUAGUUUUUAUAGACCGCUUGUAAUUAAAAGUGCAGGAUUUCCUCAUUGCCUGAAUUGUUUGUUAUUGAUUUUGUCUCUGACUCUGUCAGUUCUGCUUCACUCAGCAGGGUCUCAUUAAUUCGAUUGGUAGUUUUAAUAGAAAUUUGACAAACGGAACAAUGUCGCUUACUCAGCCACAGGCUUUAUUUUGCUUGAACAGAUGUCAUGAGACUGAUGUUUCUAUCACGUCCUCAUAUUCUCAGAGGUAAACGGAUAUCAAACCCACUGAAGAAACCAGCCAAAUGUGCUGCUACAAGCUACAAACAAAGUCAGAAAUGAACUUUUUUUUGUUAUGACACCUGGCAAUAGAAAAGUGCAGAUGAAUUAAGCAGCCAUAAAUACAGUUAAAAAGCAAUCUUUCUGAACAUAGUUAACAAUACAAUUUUUAAUUACAUAUUACAAAUAAAUGUAUUGUAACACUUUAUUUUAAGGAGCAAUUCUCGCUCGGAACUAGCUUGCAUAUUUCUAGCAUAUUGGCUUUUUAUUAGUACUUAUAAAGCACAUAUUAAUGCCUUAUUCUGCAUGACCAUAUUUUAGAUCCCUUAACCCUUCCCUAUACCGAAACUUAACAACUACCUUACUAACUAUUAAUAAGCAGCAAAUUAUGAGUUUAUGGAAGCAAAAGUCAUAGUUAAUAGUUAGUUAAAGGGUUAGUUCAGCCAAAAAUGAAAAUUAUGUCAUUAAUGACAUCAUCAAAGUAGUCCAUGUGACAUCAGUGGGUCUGUUAGAAUUUGUUGAAGCAUCGAAAAUACAUUUUGGUCCAAAAAUAAUGGACCAAACGCGCUCACAACAGACCCGGAAGAGAAGACAAUCCUGAAUAAAGUCGUAAUUUUUGUUAUUUUUGGACCAAAAUGUAUUUUCGAUGCUUCAACAAAUUCUAACUUACCCUCUGAUGUCACAUGGACUACUUUGAUGAUGUUUUUAUUACCUUUCUGGACAUGGACAGUAUACCGUACAUACUGUACAUUUUCAAUGGAGGUUCAGAAAGCUCUCGGACUAAAUCUAAAAUAUCUUAAACUAUGUUUCGAAGAUGAACGGAGGUCUUACGGGUUUGGAACCACAUGAUAUAGAGACAUAGAUAUAAAUACAUAUACUACCAUUAAAUUUUGUAGUUGGUUUGAUUUAAUAUUUUUUAAAACAAGUCUCUUAUGCUUGCUACGGAUGCAUUUACGUACUUGAUCAAACGUGCAGUAAAAACAGUAAUAUUCUGAAAUAUUACAGUUUAAAAUAACUUUUCAAUUUGAAUAUAAUUUAAAAUGUAAAUUAUUCCUCUGAUGGCAAAGCUGAAUUUUCAGCAUCAUUUCCCAAUCUUCAGUUUCACAUGAUCCUUCAGAAAUCAUUCCAAAAAAAUGCUGAUUUGGUGCAAAAUAAAUAAUUCUUAUUAUUUUCAACAUCGAAACCGCAAUAUUUUUUUCUUGGAUUCUUUGAUUAAUAGAAAGUUCAAAAGAACAGCAUUUAUUUAAAAAAUAUAAAACAUUUGUAACAUUGUAAAUGUCAUUUUAAGGCGACAUUACUGAUUUUUUUUUUUUUUUUUUUUAAUACUUUCAUUUAAAUUAUACAUUUGGUUAAUUUUUGACCUUAGACAGUAAGGGUUAUGCUAAUGUGGAUCAGGUGAUCUGGACGUGAUCAGGGCUCGAAAUUGUACUUUUAUGAGUGGGUACAUGACAGAUGGUGGUUAGUAUUAGGGGUUUCCAGAUGGGGUGGGAUGGUCUAGGGGCCGCUCGGUUGCACAGAUUCUCACUCCCCCUGUGUACCUAGUCCUCCCCCACCCCCCAGCCCCCCAAACAGAAACCCUUAAACCUUUAGUGCCCUAUUUUUCUACCGAAACAAAUAAUAUACAGGCAUAUACCAUAUGCUAUCCCGCGUCAUCGUCAACAUGGAGCCAUUCAAUCUGUCUAGGGAAACUGAAAAUGUUCAAAGCCUGUGAGAGCCUGUAGACUCAGAGCCUGUAAGUCACAAGUCUCUCUGACUCUGAAUAUUGUGUUUCACUCUAAUGUGACUGUCACAAGACUAGAUUUCUUCUCGUUUCCUCUCUUCCUCUCCAUCAGCCUGAUGCCUUUUGAUCUCGCAUUUGGGUUAGAAGAGCUGCGAAAGUACUUGGCCCACAAAGCCAGCUCUGUGUUGAUCUAAUUGAAAGGCCCCUUGUGAGAGUCUUUGGACACACACUCACAUUCAAACGGAAGCGACACAGAAAAAGCACUUUCUCCCACAGAAACAUCUUACUUAUGGGUUAACCUCUUCAAGUCAGUGUAAUGUGCCUGAUGGAAUCUGCUGGAAGAUGACAGCAGAUUUUUGGGUUUGUGGCUCAGAUAGAGACACUCGAAUUGGCCUCAGCUUGGUCAAGUUCAAUGACAGGAAAAGGAAGUGACUUGUUACUUCAUCUUUCAGAAACGAAAAGCCCAGAAAAUGUGAAGUAUUUUUUUAUAGUUUGAAAUUAGUAGAUAACUGUUUUUGCAAAUAUCUGUCAUGGGUUUGUUACGUUGUGGAUUCCAUAGGGGAAAAGUAUAUUGGCUCUUUCUCAUUUUGGUACCCACCAUUGCAGUUAUUCUCUGCCACUCCCCUCAAACCAUCUUUGUCCUCCCCUCUUUCUCUGCUCAUUUUCAGAAUCUCUUCCCCUUUGGCAGUUUUGGACCCCUCACUCAGCCAGCGCGUGCCUGUAAAUGUUAAUGCUAAUAAUACCAGAGACCUGCCUUAACUCCACCAGGAGUCCUGUGUACACAAUUUAAGCUCAACACCUGGCAGAGAGUGUAUGUUAAAUUUCAACACGGUUUCUUGUCUUAUUCAGCCUCUUAAAACCCAGUCAGAUUAGGACACAACUAUACAAAUAAACUUGACUUGACAUUUAAUGGGCAAUAAGUUUUUCCCUGCUUCCUCUCCAGUCCCCCUGGACCAUUUAAGAAAUAAAUAAUAAAGAAAUAAAGCUAUAAAAGUAUGUGAUUGGGCCCUUUUUAAUGUUCUUGUAAUUUUGGAAAGUUACAUUUUGGCCUGAAGUGAGGGCUUUUACCCUGUAGCUGUCAUAGUAGUAAAUGCCUCUGCAGUUAAUAUAAAUUUAUGCCUAAUGUCCUAAAAGAUUGUAAAUUCUUUCUACAGUAUAAUAGAGAGUGACAACUAAAUCAUGGCCUCAUUAUAACUAACUAAAGCUUUAGUAUUAGAUGUGUUUUGUACAAAGCAGCUUUGUUCUGAUUUUCCACAAACAAUAGUUAUAUCAAUCAGACGUAACACUUUGUUGUUUUGUGGCAGGUUUCUUCCACCUUAUCCUCAUCUUUACUCUCGAUACGAUGUAAUGUGUUGAAUGUUGCUCCUGACCCCCAUGAUGGACCGAUAAAGUAGCACAUAAGGAGGAGGAGGGACGGCACAGCCUCUGUGAUUAUAGAAGAGAUUUGUGAAAGCCUAGAGGAAAGUGCCAGAUGGCUGAGAAUCUCAAAGCCCUCCAUUCUCUAUCUGCCAUGACACAGACAUUUCUCCCGCCUCCAGACUCUCUCGCUCUCUCUCUUGCUCUCAGUCUUUCCCUCAACCCCCUCCUCACUUUCUUUUCCUCUAGACUUUGCAAUGUUUACUAGCUGCUUCACAGUUGUCGGUCAGAAUAACAGGAGUAUGUUUUAAUUUCCGUUUUUUUUGUCUUUCUGCUUUGCUCAUGCUGAGCUUCCUGGGUCAUUCCUACUCUAAAGUACAUUUUCAUAUCUUUAUGAAAUAUUAUAUGGGAUAAAAUAUUAACCUUAGGCAUUUUAAAGAUGGAAAUCAUAUUUGUUUUUAUUUAGUUUACAUGCAACAUCGUUUGUAGUGGGAAAACAACAGCAUCAUUAAAUAUUAGCAAUGGAUCUGAUGGAUUAUGUGUUGUUUUUUAACCUCAGUUUUCCACUUAUAUAGCAGACUGCACUCAAAUUGAAAUAAGCCUGGUCCAGCACUGGUCUAUCUGUUCGUGCUAAGUGGACUGAAAGAAACUCACUUAGAGAACUUUUAUGCCCUUGAAAGCUGUGAUACUUAGCAGAAGUAAACUGAUCCUGACACUUGCAAUGAGAGUCAUCCAUCUCAGAGUUUGCAUGUGUGCGUGUGUGUGUGUGUGUGUGUGUGUGUGUGUGUGUGUGUGUGUGUGUGUGUGUGUGUGUGUGUGUUUGUGUUUGUACUGUACAUCUGUAGGCUGGUUAUUUCCUUCUAUGGUUAAGCAAUAGUUGGCCAUUAGCCUCCAGGAUGCUUUGUGCUCUUUGCAUGGUUUCUUCUGCUUCUAGUACACAGACUUAUUUAAAAAGAGACACCCUGUAGAGAGUAAACUUCUAGAUUAUCUCUCCCAUUUGAUCUAUUUGUUCAUUUUACAGCAUUACUUAUCCAGGACAGAGGGGUAGUGUAGAUCAGCCCAGUGGGUUGCCUGACACUGAGCAUGUUUUGUGAGGACAAAGUCACUUAAAAUGUUCUUGUAAUCAUUUCACAUAAUCUGUGCCUUA